UUUUAUUUGAGAGUUUGAUCCUGGCUCAGGAUGAACGCUGGCGGCGUGCCUAACACAUGCAAGUUGAGCGAUUUACUUCGGUAAAGAGCGGCGGACGGGUGAGUAACGCGUGGGUAACCUACCCUGUACACACGGAUAACAUACCGAAAGGUAUGCUAAUACGGGAUAAUAUAUUUGAGAGGCAUCUCUUAAAUAUCAAAGGUGAGCCAGUACAGGAUGGACCCGCGUCUGAUUAGCUAGUUGGUAAGGUAACGGCUUACCAAGGCGACGAUCAGUAGCCGACCUGAGAGGGUGAUCGGCCACAUUGGAACUGAGACACGGUCCAAACUCCUACGGGAGGCAGCAGUGGGGAAUAUUGCACAAUGGG
rnacentral:rRNA from 1 species